UACAGAGGUCUCAAGCGUUGUUCGGAUUCAUUGGGCGUAAAGGGUGCGUAGGCGGCGCGGUAAGUCGGGUGUGAAAUUUCGAGGCUUAACUUCGAAACUGCAUUCGAUACUGCCGUGCUUGAGGACUGGAGAGGAGACUGGAAUUUACGGUGUAGCGGUGAAAUGCGUAGAUAUCGUAAGGAAGACCAGUGGCGAAGGCGGGUCUCUGGA
rnacentral:rRNA from 1 species